rnacentral:rRNA from 1 species
AUGGGAACGCGAAGAACCUUACCUACUCUUGACAUCCAGAGAACUUUCCAGAGAUGGAUUGGUGCCUUCGGGAACGUGUGAGACAGGUGCUGCAUGGCUGUCGUCAGCUCGUGUUGUGAAUGUUGGUUAAGUCCCGCAACGAGCGCAACCCGUUAUCCUUUGUUGCCAGCGGUUAGGCCGGGAACUCAAAGGAGACUGCCAGUGAUAAACUGGAGGAAGGUGGGGAUGACGUCAAGUCAUCAUGGCCCUUACGAGUAGGGCUACACACGUGCUACAAUGGCGCAUACAAAGAGAAGCGACCUCGCGAGAGCAAGCGGACCUCAUAAAGUGCGUCGUAGUCCGGAUUGGAGUCUGCAACUCGACUCCAUGAAGUCGGAAUCGCUAGUAAUCGUAGAUCAGAAUGCUACGGUGAAUACGUUCCCGGGUCUUGUACACACCGA